rnacentral:lncRNA from 1 species
AAAAAAAACCUUGAUAAAUUGCAAAGAAGAAGAAAAUCCUUAAAAUGCAAUUUACCCAACUGUUGCUAUUAAAAAGAUUUCCAUUGUCAAUACUCAAUAUCCUCAUCUCAAUUCUCAUCGUCAUUCCAAAAGGAUUGAACCAUAUCUCACUUGCCACUUGCUUCCGUUCAUCGCCGGAAACAUCGAAGAUGGAGUACUUGAAGAAAGUUGAAGAAGGCGUAAAACCGUGCGAUGGGAGACCGUCGAUCGGACCUACUUACCGGAGCUUCUUCGCCAAGGAUGGAUUCCCCUCACCGGACCGUGAAGUCAGUACUUGCUGGGAUAUAUUCCGGUGAGCUAUCUAGCUUGCUAUUAAUAUCGUUUGACUAUCGGCCUCUAUAUGGAUAAUGGGACGGGUCGUGCUGGAGAAUUUAUUCUCCAUAAAUAUACCCAUUAGAGCUCUCAGAAGUUAUACCAAAAAUGAUCAUUUUUUCCGGAUAUUUUAUUCAUUAGUAACAUAAAUAGAACUAUUUUCUCAUCAUUGACAGAAUUUCUGCUGACAAAAAUGCGGAUAAAAACAUGUUAGGCCGGAGGAAGAUGGUCGAUGGAAAGGUUGGUAAUUUUUUUUGAUAAAUGUAAAAAUAUCUACUUAAGUCGUAGUAAAAAUACAUGGGUUAAGUUUAAUUACCUUUUCAUUAAUGGUACUGUCAGUCUACAUAAAUGGACAUUAAUGGUAGUUGGAAUAUCAUUGUCGAUUUGAUGUUCAGAAUUCAAAUAUCAAAAUCAGGAGUAUAAAUGGGUUGGACCCAGUUCAUGUUAAGGGCAUAUGAGCAAAUAUUAAAACAUACAAGCACGAAUAAAAAAUAACCCCAUAAGGAUUAAUAGACAAAUAACCCUAUAAAGGAAUGUAUAAAUACACUCAUAUGAUUCAAAUAUGAGUUAUUUGCAUUCUUCUCCCUGACAGUUUAGACAGGGCUAUUUUUAAUUCAAACCUUUAAUUUUUAAGUUAUUUCAUAUUUUCAAGUCAAACGAGUAGGUGAAGGUGCUAUUUUGGUGGUUAACACAUUCUGAAGUAGAAGCUAGGAGACCAAACCUGUAUUUUACUGUUUGCAAUUGAAAUUAGUUCACUGGUGUCAUUAAGGUUUCUGAAGUCUAAGGUUCAAAUCUUCCUUUGUAUAUUUUUACUUAAAUUUGUCCAAUGAUAUAUUAUGUAACUUUGGUAUAUUAUCCGGAGGUUGACAGCUCUACAUAUUUAGAGAAGUACCCUUUGUUAUAAAAAAAAAAUUGAAAUUGCAACUGACAAGCAUAAAUGAAGCAUUGAUUUAUGACUUGCAGUGGUAAAAAUUAUAGAUUACAAAAAAAUUACCAUUUACAUUUUACAGUAUAAUUUGAUUCUAUUCUUUCUAAUUUUGUUAUUAAAUUUUUUUCCACCACUAUUCGAUCGAAAAUGACGAAAUAGUUGUGAUUUGCAGGUAGGAGAAUAUGUAUGGUCUACCUAUGGAGAAGUAUACGAAACUGUUAUAAAAGUCGGGGCUUCCAUCCGCAGUUGUGGAGUGGAGAAGGUAAUUAGAUUCAAUCUUAAUGAAGUCCAUUUUUCUAGAAAUAUUUUGAUUUAUUGGAAUUAUUCAUUUCAGGCGGGUCGCUGCGGUAUAUAUGGUAUCAAUAGCCCUGAAUGGAUAAUCAGCAUGGAGGUAUCUACUAAUCUCUCUAUAACUACAAACAUUAAAAAAAAAAAAUUGAUUUUUUGAUUUUCUCCAGGCUUGUAAUGCCCAUGGAAUAUACUGUGUGCCACUGUAUGAUACACUUGGUAUGAAUUUUUUUCCUUCUGUUCUUCAUUUUCUAUCAUACACAUCAAUUUCUCAUGACGAAUCGCGGUCGAAUUUAGGGUCUGGUGCCGUGGAAUUCAUCUUAUGUCAUGCUGAGGUUUCGAUCGUGUUUGUAGAAGAGAAGAAAAUUCCAGAGGUAAAUAGAUAUGACAAAAUUUCAAUUGAUUCAAAUCUGAUUCUUUAAUUUUUCCCCCCAAUAUUGCCGUCACAGGUAUUGAAAACAUUUCCAAAUUCAACAAAGCAUUUGAAGAGUGAGUUUUUUAAUUUUAUGAUAAAAUAUGAAAUAUAUCCCAUGUCCUCCUGAGUCCUGAUCUGAAAAAAAUCACACACACACAGCACUGGUUAGUUUUGGAAGCGUCGCACCUGAACAGAAAUCAGAAGUCGAAAAAUUCGGUCUGAAGAUAUAUUCUUGGGAGGAGUUUCUAUGUUUGGUAUAUUUUAUAUUCUCAAUUUUUGAUUAUUUGAAUGGUGAUUAGAAAAAUUGAAUUACCUUCCUGUUAAUUACAUUUCACUAUUUCAGGGAGAAAACAAGCAAUUCGAAUUUCCUGAGGUGAAGAGCUCUGAUAUAUGCACCAUAAUGUACACCAGUGGAACCACGGGAGAUCCCAAAGGAGUCUUAAUAACCAAUGAUAAUGUUAUUAAUGUGAUUGCUGGUUCUAUAUUUCAGCUUGAAUGUGUUAAUGAAACGGUAAAAAAAUAAUUUUUGAUAUUACCAUUACAAAAAAACUGACAUUUUUUAGCAUCCCUUUUUUGGACUCAUUAGGCGCCAAUUUUGACUGCGGGAUGUUUUCCCCGGUGAAAUUGGCGUCGGAUAGAAACAUUAUAUUUUUUUGGCGUCAAGCGCCAGAAUUUUUUUUCGUCCUAUACAUAUGAUAUGGGUAAUUGAUUAUAUUACUUGAUAAUUGGUUAAUGACAGUUAAAUUCAAAUGAUGUAUACCUAUCAUAUCUUCCAUUGGCUCAUAUCUUCGAUAGAGUGAUUGAGGAAAUGAUGAUCAGCCGUGGAGCUUCGAUUGGAUUUUGGCAAGGGGUAGUGAUUAGUUGAUUUUAUUUUCAUCUUUUUCUUCUUUUAAUUUGUUGUUUUUUGUUUAUAAUUUAUAUGUUUCUUGGUUCUCAGGAUGUAAAGCUAUUGAUAGAUGAUAUUGGAAAGCUGAAACCUACUCUUUUUUGCGCCGUCCCGCGUGUGCUUGAUCGGAUUUACACAGGUAAUUAAGUCAAGAACAGAUCUCUCUGUGUUUUCUGCAAUUUUUUCAGAAACAAUUUUGGUUAUUUUGAAAAUGUUCGAUUCCGAUUCUGAAAUUAAAUUUGCAGGUCUAAAAACAAAGAUUGCCGCGGGAGGUUUCAUAAAAUCUGCAUUGUUUAAAUAUGCAUACUCUCAGUAAGUGAUCAUUUAAUUACGAAAUUUUCAAAAACUCGAUAACGAGAUGAAAAGAGAUGGUUUGUUUAUUUUAAAGAUUGUGUUUUGUUUCACAGCAAGUUUCACAAUAUGAAGAAAGGAUUUCCUCAAGAUAAGGCGUCUCCAUUUUUCGAUAAAUUAGUUUUCAGCAAGGUUCGUCUCCAUAUCACAUUAUUUUAAUUUAAUCAGGAGUGAUUAGUGUGAUAUUUUGAGAUUUUACAGAUACAUGUUUGGAUGAUUUUCAAUCAGGAAAUUCAAUUUCAGAUUUAUGUGUUUUGCACACUGAUAUGUUUCAAAUUUUGCAGGUUAAACAAGGAUUGGGGGGGAAUGUUAAACUGAUUCUAUCUGGAGCAGCUCCUCUUGCUAACCAUGUUGAAGAAUAUCUUAGAGUGGUCACAUGUUGCCAUGUUCUUCAAGGGUAUGGUCUUACAGAAACCUGUGCAGGGACAUUCACAUCUUUACCUGAUAACUUAGAAAUGUUGGGAACGGUUGGACCGCCUAUUCCGAACGUAGACAUACGACUUGAAUCUGUUCCUGAAAUGGGCUAUGAUGCACUCUCAGAACUUCCUAGAGGUGAAGUUUGUGUGAGAGGGAAGACUGUAUUUUCAGGCUAUUACAAGCGAGAGGAUCUCACCAAUGAGGUUUUGAUUGAUGGAUGGUUUCAUACAGGUAAGUUCAGAUUUAUCCGCGAACAUACCCUUUUUUUAAUUGUCACUACACGAAAACUGGAUUAAAAUGACGGAAUUGACAAAGCAUGAGAACAUUCAGGUGAUAUUGGAGAAUGGAUGAAAAAUGGAAGUCUCAAAAUCAUCGAUAGGAAGAAGAAUAUCUUCAAGCUCUCACAGGGGGAAUAUGUCGCGGUCGAGAAUUUGGAAAAUGUGUAUGGAUCCAUUCCUGAUAUCGACAUGGUAUGUUACGUCAAUGAUCAUCAAAAUUACCAAUCGUCGACACACAUCUCAGUACUACUCUAUAAUCUAUAUUGAUUGAUUAAAACCCUUUCAGAUAUGGGUUUAUGGGAAUAGCUUUGAAUCCUAUCUUGUUGGUGUUGUCAAUCCUAACCAACAAGCUCUUGAGCAUUGGGCGCACCAACAUGGUAUAGAAGGUGACUACGCCUCUCUAUGUCAGAAUGACAAAGCGAAGGAAUACAUACUUCGUGAAAUUUCGAAAGUCGCAACUUCACACAAGGUAAUAAAAUUAACAUGCACUAGUUAUUCGAUCGAAUUUACCUGAUGAUAUAUCCCUAAACCUGGUUGUUGGUUUUUGCAGAUGAGAGGUUUUGAGGUUUUGAAAGGAAUUUACCUCGACAGUGAGCCAUUUGAUAUUGAACGUGAUUUGAUCACGCCGACAUACAAGAAGAAACGACCACAACUUAAAAAAUAUUAUCAGGUAAAUUCAAAAUCAUUCACGAUACAUAAAACCCUAAUCGCACUACAAGAUUACUGACUUUUAGGGACGGUCAGAAUCCGUCCCUAAUCAUCAAAAGCCAUCGCUAAUUGAUGAUUAGGGACGGAAUUUGGCUGUCUCUAAUCCUUCCUUGAAAGUCGUCUCGCUGACUUUUUAGGAAUGUCCCUAACCCUAACUUGAACCCUAAAGAUCUGUUUUCUUGUAGUGAUAUCAUAAUCAAGCACUCUUUAAUUAAAAUCUUGAAUUACAAAUUUUUUUCUAGGGUGAGAUUGACAAGCUUUACAAGCAUGGAAAGUAAGAAGACUCUAAGAAGCUAUAUAUGAUGAUGUUAUGAUAUAUAUAUUGAGAUACCGGUGAAUAAUGUGUUCUAUUCCUUAAACUUACCAUUAAUGACGAUUUUAAUGAUCUUGGCACUUUUAAUCCGUUGUUAAAAUAAAAAUACAUAAAAUAUGAUGAGAGAACGGUUCUGGUACGGCCAGAUUGGGUGCGCACAACCAAUCUAGACAGUGAGAUCUAUUUUUUUAUCUUUAUUCAAAUAUUUUGUGGACCAUGAGUGAGCAGUGGCGUAGCCAAGAAUCCCCCAGUAGGGGCGAAAUUCUCGAGCCUAAAGGUAAUUUUUUUGUAUUAUUUUAAAAAUAAAAUUUUAAUAUGAUCUAUUCAUAAAAUCGAUUAUAAAAACCUAUAAAAAUUAAUAUUAAAUACAUUCAAUAAUUAAUAUUCAAAUUAAAAAAAUAUAUUUAUUCAAUUAACAAUAAAAUUUUCAGAUAUAGGGAUUUCUGAAUUUGGGUUUAGGGAUUUAGAAUAUAGAGGAUUUAAAAAAAUAUAUUUUAUUAUAUAAUGUGGACUUUAUAACUUAACCCUUAAAAAAUAUUAAUAUAAUGUAAAAAUUACAUUUAACCCCUAUCUAAUGUAAAAUUACAUAUAGGUCUUUAUAAAAUCCCCAACUUUUGGGGGGGCAAUUGCCCUCCCUUGCCCUGGCUAUGCCCUUAACCGUGAAGUCGACUUUUAAUCACCUGGAUCGGGCGCAUACCUGAUCUUGGACCGGUUACAAUAACUAUUUAGGUUGUUAAGGAUUUUAGUUUUGAUGUUAUAAAAAAAAUUAUCGUCUCGAAAUUGAAAAAAAAACAUUUAUUUUAUAAAUUUCAAAAAGAAAUGAGAUUAUAAAUAGAUAAAACAUGGACAAGAUAUUAUAUCUUAUGUGAAUUGAAUGAUAUAUAAUAUUAAUUCCUAAAAAUUAAUAUUUCUUUUACUCGAACACUCUUCAGAUCGAAAUUUUAAUAGUUAAUGUGAUCCGUUGUAAAAUUUAAUAUCUUAUAUAUAAUAAUUUGACAUGGGUAAUGCACUGAUACUUGAUGGCUUUCCGACUCCCUCUUAGACAUCUAGCCCGACCCGAAAAAACGGCCUAGGAAAAUGUCUCCAACUCAACUUCGGGGAGAAUCAGUCAGUCCGACCAAACAGCCUGCUGAUGCGCCAACUCACGACCCAACUCUUCGAGAAUCGCAAAAGAAAACAUGAUUAAUUCAGUUAUGAAAAAAAGUGAGCGACAUCAAUAUAUUUAUAGUCGCAAAAAGGUGGGGUACUGAUAAUACCCUUGGCCCACUUGAAUGGCCAAAGAGGAACAUCACUAGACCCAGUUCAACUUGACAAAACGGCCCAAGAACAUCUCCAGGUCCGCCAUUGACCAAUUCCUGACCUGUCAGGACGGCCCAGAAACAACGCCCGACCCAUUGUCCAGCUGCUCUUGGACAGAGCGGUCCAGUAAUAUUAAGGCCUAGUCCUAGGAAUAGCUGGAGUCCUAUUAAUACAAGCCUUCUUAGAAGAAGGAAGACACGUCACAUUACCUACCUGACCUACAUGAGAGAGAUAGAGUAAGGCUAAACCCUAAUCCGAUUACGUUAGCCUUUUUUUUGGCUAUACGUUAUCAGGUUUCAUGAGUAAAUAACAUUUGUUGGUACCAUGACCCGUCCAGCAAACCAUGGACUGAACCGACCACGGUCCCGACCGGACGACGGGCUUGGGCCAAGAGAGGCCCAGGAAGCCAAGGGACCCUAGCUAAAACAAACCUAUAAAUAUAUACCUCCCCUGGUCCAACAGGGGAGGGGGCUGAAAAUAAAAGAGAAAAUACACUAAGCAUUUGAGAGAAUUGUGUGUGUGUGUGUGAACGUCCGUUUUGUAAACUCGCAAACCAUCAUGCAUCAACAUCUAAAAUAAUCAAAGUCUAAAUCUUUUUUCUUUAAUAAUUUGAUAGAAAAAUAAAAUGUCAACCGCAGAUGAAUAAAAAAAUUAAAAACUUAGUCUCCUCCCAGCUGCCAUUACAAUAAAAUAAAUUAGAAGUCAAACCCCUCCCAUUAUGAAAGAAAAGAUAAUGGCAUUUAUGUUAAAUAAAGGAAAAUUAUGGGUCAAUUUUCAAUCAUCACCGUACAAUAGUAGGAUAAGAGACGUGCAAAAACACAGUAGGAUAACAUGGACUCCAUUAAUCUGAAUUCGAGAACGGAUAGAAAAAUGACGACGGCAGCAUCGGUCCCUGUUCCUUGGUAUCCUGUAGGAGUGGAUGUCACCGUCGAAGAAUCACCGAUCCCCCAAAAAAGUGGUCCGUCCCAAGACGCCGGCGCUUCCUUUGUUCUCGAGUCUAAAGGUAUUAAUUUUCUUUGCUUUCUUUCUUUCUUUUGUAACUAGCUGUUCAGACUGACUUAGGUCUCAGUGAACUGUUUAUUUCAGGAAAAUGGUAUCAUGCCGGAAGUCAUUUAACGACGGCGAUAGUUGGGCCGACGAUCCUAACGCUACCCUACGCUUUCCGUGGAAUGGGUUGGGUGUUGGGUCUGUUCUCGUUGACUUUGGUCAUGGUGGUGACGUUUUACGCCUACUUACUCAUGUCUAAAGUUCUUGAUCACUGUGAAAAAAAUGGAAAAAGGCACAUCCGUUUCCGGGAACUCGCCGCCGAUAUUCUCGGUAUGUUUUACGAUCUUAUAUAGUUUAUCGAUCUAAUAUUAAUCUAUAAGGUUCUCCCGGGUACGAAAUUUUCGGCAAAUGGAGAAAAUCCAUAUGUUUUCAGUCGUCGGAGUUUAUCGUCAUAUAUGUUUCUGGUCUCUCCCCGUUCUGACGGUGCACCUCAUUCCGACUUCUCGUCGGAGUCGAGGUCAACCUCACCCCGGUAACUGAGUCCGGAUCCAGACCCGUCUGCCCAGUCCGAGACUGGGUCCAAAUUCUGUUUUUAAUUAAAUUGUUUAAUUUUUUAUUUUAAUUAAAUUGUUUACAUUUUAUUUUUUAAAUUCUAAAAAAAAAUAAAAUCCCUAUUUUCCCAGACCCAUUCGACCCGAUAGUUUUACAGGAUCAGGAUCCAGCUUGACUGACUUUCGACCCGACCUGAUUACAUCCUUAAUUAUCAUUAGAGAAAAUUUUAGGUUUAUAAGGUUAUCUUGUUAUCUACACAAAGAGAUUAGUUUAACUAAUCACAAUAAUAAUUAAGGUUUUUGAUGGUUCAUGAUUCGAAACUUACCAGCGGCGAAUCCAAGAUGGUUAAUUUUAAAUCAUUUAACUAAAUUCAAAAAAAAAAUCAAUCUAAUUGUUUUCGACGAGGUGUCAUAUUUUGGUAUCGAUACAUAAUAUUAUUAUUACUAACACUAGAAGAUAAAUCUUUUUCAACAUAUGUUACUAAAAUAUCAUUCAACUAAACAUCAUCUUUACGAUUGCGACAACUUAAUAUAUCAAUAUAUAGCGAUUAUAGCCCUCCCUUGCCCCCCCUACAUACGCCACUGACUUUGGUAUAUCAUAAAAAAUAAACAUUUUUACAAUUAUAAUUAAUUUAUGUCCUUAUAAUUUAGUCUCGUAUAUUAUUUUGAUUUAAUUUUCGAAACCGAUGAUUAGGGAUGUAAAUGAAUCGGGUUUGAGUUGACUGGUUUAAACUCGGAUGUCGGAUCUAUAAACUUCGUCUGGGUCAAGUCCAGGUCCACAAGAAAAAUACCUAUAGUCCUAUACCCAAACCUAGUUCAGGUAGAUUUUUUUACUUGUAAAAAAAUAUUCUCCGAAUUUCCAUAAAAAAAACCUAAAUUUAUAAUAUCGAAAUUGAAAAAAAUCAAGGGAAUCAACAAAAGUCAUAUGUAACUAAUGUAAGGGUUAGAUGGGAAAAUAACCAAAACGUGUAAGAAAUCUAGUCAUCUAAUAGAUUCAAGGACAGACAAGAAAGCGUCAAAAUGUCAACAUCAUCAUUGACGACAUUGAGAGUGGAGAAUGGUGACAUUGUCGGAGAAGGAGAAGUGGAAUCACCAACAAAAAAUACCGAUACAUUCGAAGACGCCGGCG